UUUGUGUCCAUAUGGAUAAGGUUUUCUGUCGGAGUCUUUUAUUGGUCUGUGUGACGUCAUUUAUUGUGUUUUAUCCUGAGGCGGAGCAGAAGGGGCGGGACCAGGAUUCGCCAGGCCCAGCGCGUCCUCGGUAUAUAAGCAGCCUGCUUCAGCGCGUGAGGGAAGGAGAGAGGAGCUGCAGCUGGCUUGGAGCUGAGUCGGCUUCACCACCCAGCUCUGCCCUACGGAGGUGGCUCUUCCCUCACCUGCCUGCCCACCCCGUCUUUGUUUGGGUUUUGUUUUGUUUGAUCUUUCUUUUCUUUUGUAGGGCUUUUCCGCUUACCAGCGGCUGCAGAGAUGACACCGACCACAGGGGGGCCACCCGCUUGUCGCUGUUUAUUUUUUUGUGUUGUUUAAUAAAGAGCGUAUUUCUUGUAUUGAAGGCCGUGUCUCCCUGGCUUUUGUUACGGCUCACGAGCCGUAACAUGGCUAGACAAUCCUAUGACAAUCCUAUGACAUUUUUACAUUGAUCAAUAGUUUAAAACAGAUUUGGUGAGUUCUGAAAAUAACUUCUUGAUAGCUGAGCUGUUUUAUGUUUUUUUUCCCUAUAAUGUUAUACAAAGAAGCCAUAAGCUUGAGGUGUUAUCUUAAAAUACUUUUCCAGAUGUGUGUCAGUUUAAUUUUAUGUUGUUUACGUGAAUAUCUGAUUUGAAAUCAAGAGAAAUAGACAGGAAAUAGAAAGUUGGGGAACCAUUUUGUUUAGAAAUUAGAUCAACUCUUGCAAAUGUACAGCAUCUUUAAGGAAAGCAAACAUAUAGGAUACAAUUUUAUGCUUUACAAUAAAGUAUAUCCAUUGCAAAAUAUCCCUAAUUUGCAUGUCAUGACCACUGGGGUUCAAGUAUAACCAGUCUAUCAAGUUCCUUUAAUGGAGUGUGACACAUCUAUCAUUCAUUCUUUCUGUUUGCUGACAUUAACUCAGUGUUUUUACUGGCUGUCUAUAACACAUCACUCAGAUGUUGACGCCACCUCCUGUGCUCUCUGGUGCCCGUUCUAGGUGUUCCAAUCCUUUGCAUUUUUGUGUACUCUCCCGGUUAGCGUUUUUUUAAAAUUACACCGAAAACAGUUUUGAUGCUAAGUGAUCUCAGUGAGUGGACUUAUAUCAAAACUAUUCUUGUCAGUAACUUAUGUUUAACUUGAUGUGUGGUCUUUUUUAAUUAUGGUCCUGUCUUAAAAUUUAAGUUCCAACAAGUAAGCCAAAUAAAUUGCAAAAUAAGUAAUGUUUUUUUAACGUACUGUUUAUUUUUUGUUUUUUGUUUCAUUUUGUCUUCUGUGGAAGCUUCAAGUUUCUCAGAUGGUGUCAUUGCUGCUAUAGUUAUUGCAUCCUUGAUAGCUACUGCUCUAGUAGCUGCUGGAGGCUUCUUUAUUCGUAAGAGCGUAGCAUGUUUAUGAGGACAUGCCAGACUUGUAUGAUAGGAGGAUAUAAAAUCUCCAGUUUUUAUUCCCUAAAUGAUCAUCAAAAAGUAAGAAAAUGAGGUAGCAUAUAACCAUCUGGAAAAGGAGUAAAAUAAUGAAUAUUAGUACUGCACAUUUGUUUGACAAGGCUGUUUUAUAUAGUACUUUUAUUUUAGAUGUUUACAUUUAUUUCAAUAAACUACAUUGCAAGUUGCACAGUCUCAUUAGUAGAAAUGUUUAGCUCAGAAAUAGAAUUUAUAGUCUUUAAAGCUUUGGUCAGGGUUUUAUUGUCUGCACUUUGUAACACAUUUUCAGAUAUUUUUGUUUGAGGGCUCAAACUCAUCUGUCAAACUGGGUUUUUAUAAAAUUCAUGUUAUUUUUUUCUAAUCUAAUUUUAUUGUUAUUGAAACAUACUGCAGUCACUAUGUUUCUUCCUCUGUUUAAGUGUAAUUAAAUUAGAAAAUAUGUUAAUUUGUGUUACUUUGACAAAAUGAGGAGAGGAGGAUGAUUGACUUUGUUGCCAAUUUGUUAGCUUAAAAUAACUUUGCAAAUUUAUAUUGUAACUUUUUAAGUGGAGACAGCAAUGAUUUGAAUUAUUGAUAGAAGCUAAUUAAUGAGAAGCAAUAAAAGUUGCUAAUAUUUAGUUUUAUGUACUUAAGUAAUAGCAGACAUGGUUUUUGUUCUUUUUGUAUGUUCUGUUUUGUUGUUUAUUAAAAUUGAUGCACGUCCAUUUAUGAAUCCAUGACACUUGAGCUUUAUCUUGUGCGAAAAACUAGAAAAAAUAUGUUGUAAUUUGUAAGUCUAAAAACUCACAAAUUCUGGUAACUGGAUUUUCAAAUAAAUGUGUUAUCUUAAUCACAUAACAUCAUGCUGAACAUGUCUGACAUUUGUUUAUUUACCAAAUAAAUCCAUAUGUCCUUUAUUUUCUUCAUAGCACUGAUGUCGCUGUAAUAUUAGGGUAAUGUGUUUGUUUUUAAUUGAUUAUCUACUUUGUAAAAAUAAUUUAUUUUCCAAUGUGAACUCAUUCAAGACCAAUCACAGCUGUUAAGCAAACAUUAACAACUUUACUUUCAAACUUUGUUGGAAACCAUUCAUUAAACGCUCCAUCACUAUA